AGCGCUGAGCGGGUAUACGUGCGCGGGCUCCUCAUGUCAGCAGCCGCAGGCCCGAGUGAGUCCGGGCUUGAGACCUGCUGAGCAGCGGGACCUGGCGCCUGGCGUUCUGGUGUGGGGCCGAGAACAGAUCCUUCUUCUGAAAAGCCACUGGCCCUUUGUUCAAUGAAGUCGAUUUCUCAUUGUCUUCACCAAUCUUCUGAACCCGUGAAUACUUUUUGCAUGAUGAUUUGAAGCAGCCAGGAGGCCAAGACAGCGGCCAGGAAAAGCAGCAAGGAAUUGAGCCUUGUACAUU